GACGAACGCCGGCGGCAUGCCUAAUACAUGCAAGUCGAACGAGCUUCCGUUGAAUGACGUGCUUGCACUGAUUUCAACAAUGAAGCGAGUGGCGAACUGGUGAGUAACACGUGGGAAAUCUGCCCAGAAGCAGGGGAUAACACUUGGAAACAGGUGCUAAUACCGUAUAACAACAAAUCCGCAUGGAUUUUGUUUGAAAGGUGGCUUCGGCUAUCACUUCUGG
rnacentral:rRNA from 1 species